rnacentral:rRNA from 1 species
UAGGGAAUAUUGGGCAAUGGGCGGAAGCCUGACCCAGCCAUGCCGCGUGAAGGAAGACAGCCUUAUGGGUUGUAAACUUCUUUACUAUGCGAAUAGAGAUUAGUACGAGCUACUAAUAGGAAGGUAGCAUAGCAAAAAGCACCGGCUAACUCCGUGCCAGCAGCCGCGGUAAUACGGAGGGUGCAAGCGUUAUUCGGAAUUACUGGGCGUAAAGCGUGCGUAGACGGUUACAUAAGUCGGGUGUGAAAGCCCCGGGCUCAACCUGGGAAUUGCAUUCGAGACUGCGUAGCUAGGGUGCGGAAGAGGGAAGCGGAAUUUCCGGUGUAGCGGUGAAAUGCGUAGAUAUCGGAAGGAACACCAGUGGCGAAAGCGGCUUCCUGGUCCAGCACCGACGUUCAGGCGCGAAAGCGUGGGGAGCAAACA